AAGAAGAAGCGCCGAACAUUAACGUAGACAACCUGACCACUGCUGAGCAGGAGCUGUAUUAUUUCCUGCUGCACGACAAAGAUAAAAACUCAAAAUUGGACGGUUUUGAGUUGUUAGAAGCUCUUCGGCAUACUCUUCACGGCGACAACAACUAUCAAGCAUUUUUAUAUUACACUGACGAGGAACCUAAUACCAGCGCGGAUGACAAAGUGUUUAAUCGCUUUACUGAAUUGGUUGACAGAGUUCUACGCGAAGAUGACACGAACCAUGAUGGGUACUUGGAUUAUGCCGAAUAUGCCGAGGCGAGAACCAAAGCUAAACCUAAACAACCAGACCAGGUUCAAAACGAAUAAUUUUUUCUGUAACUUUGUUUUACCAUUGUGUAGUUAACUUGAUAACUAAAGGUUGUACUAGAGACGAAUAAAGAACCCCUUUCCCAGUUUGAAAAA
rnacentral:lncRNA from 1 species